UUAAUUAUUUCCGCCUUUUCACGCAAAAGAGUACUUACACAGUAUACAUCACUUUAUUUACUGCUCAUUUUAUUUUUCUCUCUCUUUACGUUUACAUCUGUGUCUCUGUAUAUCUCCCCAUUCUUUCACCUUUCAAAAAAAAAUAUCUCCCCAUUCUUUCAUUCUUUCCCUCAAUAUUCACAGUUCCUCCCAAAAUUUCUCCCGCGCUUUUGGUGAAAAUCUUAAUGGGGAAGACGAUCACCCCAAAGGUGGAGUCGUCUAACACCAUAGACAACAUUAAGACUAAGAUCCAGGUAGAUCCGAUCAAGAACAAAAUACACAUCCGAGCAAAGAGCAAUUCUUACUAUGCCGACGAAGAGGCAAAGGUGGUGGGGGGAGAGGGAGGAGCAACGAGCGUUGUUAUAUAUAUAUUCUUCUUACUUUUGUGUUUUUGUGUGUUUUUUGUGUAUGUUCUUCUUACUUUUUUUGCAACAGCGGAGAACAGGUGAAGGAGCAGAACUAAAAAUACGUAAGGAUGGAGAACAGAGAGAACAAGUGAAAGAACAAAUUUUUCACUUUUAACUUCACAUUCUUCACUUUUAUUUUAACAGAGAUGACAUGUAAAUUUGAUUUUAAUUUCACAUUUUUCACUUUUCUUCUUCUUUUUCCUUAAUAUGCAUUCAUUAGUGCGCUAACCUUUUGUUGUUGCUUGAUGGAAGUAGGUUCUGUGUGUGUGGUUCUUUAUAAUUGUGUACAUAAAAUUACAUAAAGGUAUCCCAUAUAAUGAAGUAGAACCUUUCAGUUAUAUGAGGGGAUGAGGGCGUUGGUGAGGUGUCUCAUUGCUGCAAGUUAGCAUUUUUUAUAACAUUUUUGGCUUAAAAUUUCUUGAUAAUUUUUGGGGUUUUCUUCAUUGAGGGAAUUGUGCUUUGUUUCUUACAAAUUCGUUGCUUUUAACAGAGUUUGGAGUAAUUGUUUCACUAAGUAAAUUGUUUCAUGUUACAGCCUAAUUACAUUGAAAAUUUGUUGAUUCUUUCUCCUAUAAUUGUUCUACUUAAUGAGUUACUGCAUUUCUGUGAUUGAUCAGCUUCUGGGAUUUUGUUAUGCUCCGGAGCAGUUGGUGCAGUGAGCACAAGUAAAAGAUCUGUAGAAGGAUAUAGUGGGCUGCGUAUUCAGCCACACAAAGCAAUUGUUGGAGCUAAUGCUUUUGCUCUUGAAAGUUGAAUUCAUCAAGUUGGUGUUCAAUGGUUUGCAUGAGUUGGACCCUUUUAAGUUGUAACUGAAAUUAUUGUUUAUGCAUUUUAUUUGAGUUUUAUGCAGGAUGAAUGCUGAAACAUAGAAAUGUGAGAAAAAUGAGCACCGGUGUGACAACGUGAUGGUUCCAGCGAGUGGAAAUGUAAAAUGUAGAUUUGACUUUUGUUUGAGGGUGGUUUUCACAAUUAAUAAAUAGUAUAGAUAUAUUGUUGAUUUUUUUUA